GAUGAACGCUGGCGGUAUGCUUAACACAUGCAAGUCGAACGGACUCUUCGGAGUUAGUGGCGGACGGGUGAGUAACGCGUGAGAAUCUGGCUUUGGGUUCGGGACAACCACUGGAAACGGUGGCUAAUACCGGAUGUGCCGAGAGGUAAAAGAGAAAUUGCCUGAAGAUGAGCUCGCGUCUGAUUAGCUAGUUGGUGAGGUAAAGGCUCACCAAGGCAGCGAUCAGUAGCUGGUCUGAGAGGAUGACCAGCCACACUGGGACUGAGACACGGCCCAGACUCCUACGGGAGGCAGCAGUGGGGAAUUUUCCGCAAUGGGCGAAAGCCUGACGGAGCAAUACCGCGUGAGGGAAGAAGGCUCUUGGGCUGUAAACCUCUUUUCUUAGGGAAGAACAAAAUGACGGUACCUAAGGAAUCAGCAUCGGCUAACUCCGUG
rnacentral:rRNA from 1 species